GGCGUGCUUAACACAUGCAAGUCGAACGAUGAAACCUUAGCUUGCUAAGGUGGAUUAGUGGCGCACGGGUGAGUAAUAUAUAGAUAACGUGCCUCUUAGUCUGGGAUAGCCAUUGGAAACGAUGAUUAAUACCGGAUACUCCUUCUCAUUAUAAUUUGAGUUGGGAAAGUUUUUCGCUAAGAGAUCGGUCUAUAUCCCAUCAGCUUGUUGGUAGUGUAAGAGACUACCAAGGCAAUGACGGGUAGCGGGUUUGAGAGGAUGAUCCGCCACACUGGUACUGAGACACGGACCAGACUCCUACGGGAGGCAGCAGUGAGGAAUAUUGCACAAUGGAGGAAACUCUGAUGCAGCAACGCCGCGUGGAGGAUGACGCAUUUCGGUGUGUAAACUCCUUUUAUAGGUCAAGAAAAUGACGGUAGCCUAUGAAUAAGCACCGGCUAACUCCGUGCCAGCAGCCGCGGUAAUACGGAGGGUGCAAGCGUUAUUCGGAAUCACUGGGCGUAAAGGACACGUAGGCGGGAAGCCAAGUCUGAUGUGAAAUCCUAUGGCUUAACCAUAGAACUGCAUUGGAAACUGGUUACCUAGAGUAUGGGAGGGGGAGAUGGAAUUAGUGGUGUAGGGGUAAAAUCCGUAGAUAUCACUAGGAAUACCUAAAGCGAAGGCGAUCUCCUGGAACAUUACUGACGCUAAGGUGUGAAAGCGUGGGGAGCAAACGGGAUUAGAUACCCCGGUAGUCCACGCCCUAAACGAUGUUCACUAGUCGUCGGGAUGCUAGUCAUCUCGGUGAUGCACUUAACAGAUUAAGUGAACCGCCUGGGGAGUACGGUCGCA
rnacentral:rRNA from 1 species